GUUCUGGAUGGCCUCUUUUUGUUUGGAUCAUCUUGACCUUAAUAUUGCAUAAGUAGAAGCAAUUACUAGUCUUGUUGUCUCCUUAUGCCUCUAUUUUCUUACUAUCCUGUUGUUGUUACUGCAUAUGUCUACAUAAAUGUUGUGUUUUUUGCUUUUGUUGAGUCGAGACUCGAGGGUUUAUCGGAAACAGUCUCUCUACCUGCCAAGGUAGGGGUAAGUCUGGGUACACUCUACCCUCCCCUGAGCAGGCUGUUUAUUCCAAUCUGCUUGGAAUAUCUGGUUAGCAAUUUUGUGAAGUUAUUUUAGCUAAAUGAGUGUAUGUAACUUGGUUGUGAGAUGUAUUUUGA
rnacentral:misc_RNA from 1 species